UAGCAUAUCCAUAGCGGAGGAAAAGAAACUAAUAAGGAUUCCCCCUAGUAACUGCGAGUGAAGAGGGAAAAGCUCAAAUUUAAAAUCUGGCAGCUUCGCUGUCCGAGUUGUAAUUUAGAGAAGUGUUGCCCGCGUUGGACCGUGUAUAAGUCUCCUGGAAUGGUGCGUCAUAGAGGGUGAGAAUCCCGUCUUUGACACGGACUACCAAUGCAUUGUGGUACGCUCUCAAAGAGUCGUGUUGUUUGGGAAUGCAGCACUAAAUGGGUGGUAAAUUCCAUCUAAAGCUAAAUAUUGGCGAGAGACCGAUAGCGAACAAGUACCGUGAGGGAAAGAUGAAAAGAACUUUGGAAAGAGAGUUAAACAGUACGUGAAAUUGUUGAAAGGGAAACGUUUGAAGUCAGUCGCGUCGGCUGGGAAUCAGUCUUGCUUUUGCUUGAUGUACUUUCUAGUCGACGGGUCAGCAUCAGUUUUGACUGCUGGAUAAAGGUUGAGGGAAUGUGGCACCUUCGGGUGUGUUAUAGCCCUUGGUCAUAUACAGUGGUUGGGACUGAGGUACUCAGCACGCCGCAAGGCCGGGUUUCGACCACGUUCGUGCUUAGGAUGCUGGCAAAAUGGCUUUAAGCGACCCGUCUUGAAACACGGACCAAGGAGUCUAACAUGCCUGCGAGUAUUUGGGUGGAAAACCCGAGUGCGCAAUGAAAGUGAAAGUUGAGAACUCUUUAGAGUGCAUCGACGCCCGGACCAGACGUUUUCUGACGGAUCCGCGGUUGAGCAUGUAUGUUGGGACCCGAAAGAUGGUGAACUAUGCCUGAAUAGGGCGAAGCCAGAGGAAACUCUGGUGGAGGCUCGUAGCGAUUUCUGACGUGCAAAUCGAU
rnacentral:rRNA from 1 species